UACGUAGGCAGCGAGCGUUGUUCGGAGUUACUGGGCGUAAAGGGUGUGUAGGCGGUUGUUUAAGUUUGGUGUGAAAUCUCCCGCUCAACUGGGAGGGUGCGCCGAAUACUGAAUGACUUGGAGUGCGGGAGAGGUGAGUGGAAUUCCUGGUGUAGCGGUGAAAUGCGUAGAGAUGUGGAGGAACACCGAUGGCGAAGGCAGCCUCCUGGGCCAGCACUGACGCUCAUGCACGAAAGCGUGGGGAGCAAACAGG
rnacentral:rRNA from 1 species